rnacentral:rRNA from 1 species
GACGAACGCUGGCGGCGUGCCUAAUACAUGCAAGUUGAGCGAUGAAGAUUGGUGCUUGCACCAAUUUGAAGAGCAGCGAACGGGUGAGUAACGCGUGGGGAAUCUGCCUUUGAGCGGGGGACAACAUUUGGAAACGAAUGCUAAUACCGCAUAACAACUUUAAACAUAAGUUUUAAGUUUGAAAGAUGCAAUUGCAUCACUCAAAGAUGAUCCCGCGUUGUAUUAGCUAGUUGGUGAGGGAAAGGCUCACCAAGGCGAUGAUACAUAGCCGACCUGAGAGGGUGGUCGGGCAAAUUGGGACUGGGACACGGCCCAAAAUCCUACGGGAGGCAGCAGGAGGGAAGUUUCGGAAAUGGAAGAAAGUCUGACCGAGAAACGCCGCGUGAGUGAAGAAGGGUGUCGGAUCGGAAAAAUCUGUUGGUAGAGAAGAACGUUGGUGAGAGUGGAAAGCUCAUCAAGUGACGGUAACUACCCAGAAAGGGACGGCUAACUACGUG